rnacentral:rRNA from 12 species
AAUAGUAUCCACUCUUGGAAAGUAAGCAGGGCUGUGCCUGGUUAAUACUUGGAUGGGAGACCAACUUGAAAGACCAGGGGAUGCUAUCC